AACAAAGUGUAGCUUACUAAAGCUCCUCGCUUACACCGAGAUGUCAUCUGUUUAACCCAGAUCAUUUU
rnacentral:tRNA from 1 species